CCCCUCCCACCUUACCCACUUCUCACUCGUCCCUUUCUCGUGAAACCCUAGCAGCCGCCAUGAUUUUCCCUUGUCUCUCUCUGCCAAAAAUGGCAAUAUCAUAGAGCUGGGCUGACAAGUACAGCUAUUUUGUUCUAGUAAAAGCAUUUAAAGUUUUACUUGAUCUCAUGUCCUUUUGCUCGAAUAUGGUAAUAAAAUCUCUUUUACUCUUUAUUUUUUAGAUUUGUAGUUAAAAUCGUGAUUUUCUUUUGCUUUAAGUUAUUUUAUCACAUUUUUUCUAUUGGUUCAUGGUUGUUGGGUCAGAUCUGACCGCAUGUUUGGCUACGCUCUUAGAUCUGGGACGUUGAUUGUUGUUUACUGAGUUUUUAGGUCUUGAGAAGGGUUUAUCCCACAUCGUUUGUUGUUGGUUUUGGUUGAUCUUUGGGGUUCUAUAAUAGAACCCCACUCUCACAAAAAUAGAAGUCGGAAAAAAGAGGAAAAAAUAGUGUGAUAAAAAAUAGGGAAAAUUUGAGAGUUGAAGAAGUUGGUAAAAUUUAGAUUUUUCAAAAGCUUCUUAGUAAAAGGAUUUAAAAAAAAAAAACCUAGACUGAAAUAGUUAGGGUUUUUCUCAGUUAAAGUAUUUUUCUUACUUCAUUUAUUUUCGUGUGUGGCUGAGUUGUUGAGGUUGGAAGCACAAAAAGCUCCCAAGUUCGUUCUUUUCCUGGCUGCGCACAUAAAAGAUCUUGCGAAAGCCAAAGACUUAAGUUCGGAUUAGCUUAGGAAGCGGGCAAGGUACACCCAGAUGAGUAAAGGACGUUGCUAGAAGAUGUUUCAGCUGGAUUGGCGAGCUCCACUUCCUUUCGGAGUGUUGCCGAGUCGGAGUAUAUAUGUUAUGAUUUCUGGUUGAAGUUAGAGACUUUGCAGACAGAGUCGUGGGCAUAGAAUGUCAGUUUGUAAGCGGCUCCAUCAGCCGAUGUGUCUUAUAGUAUUAUGUUACAGAUCCAUUAUAAUUACAAAUUAUACUUGAUUUGAGUACGAUGAAAGAAAAGUUUCUGAAGGCUUUA